AUCUUUGACUGGGUUAACAGGAAAUCCUGUUCAUACUGUGUGUUCCCUUUUUGCUGAUCCUACACUUGGUGUCGUUGUUAGAAGUGUUCUUUCUGCAUCUUCAGUAGGCUUGUGCCACUGGAACUUUGGUAGCAGUAACGAAAGAUGGCAGGUGAAAAGAGGGGUAAGAAAACAAAGAAGGCUAACGAGACAGCGGUUCCCCGAAGACCACCAGAAAACCUUGCGAUUAGAAAUAGAAGCCCGUCGCCAUGUCUUCCACCACGCGGCACUCCAUUGCCUCAUGAUCCCCUUAGUGUAGACUAGUUUAAUGUUUUGUGGAUGUUUACAAAUGUUGAAGUAGUUUAAUGUUGUUUUGAUGUUUGCGAAGGUUGAAGUAGCUUAAUUAAUGUCUCUUGUGAAUGUUUGAUUGACGUUUUUAUUCAACUUUGAAGUAAUUUCGAAUUGAAUUUGAUGUUUUGGUGGUUGUAAUAUAUGUGUUGUAAUAGUAGCUUAUUGUUUUAUGUAUUUA